GGCGAACGCUGGCGGCGUGCUUAACACAUGCAAGUCGAACGGAGUGGCGAACGGGUGAGUAACACGUGGGUGACCUGCCCUGCACUUCGGGAUAAGCAUGGGAAACUGGGUCUAAUACCGGAUAGUGUGGGAUGGGCCCGCGGCCUAUCAGCGGGUUGGUGGGGUAAUGGCCUACCAAGGCGGCGACGGGUAGCCGGCCUGAGAGGGUGGACGGCCACAUUGGGACUGUGACACGGCCCAGACUGCUACGGGAGGCAGCAGUGGGGAAUAGUGCACAAUGAGCGGAAGCCUGAUGCAGCGACGCCGCGUGGGGGAUGACGGCCUUCGGGUUGUAAACUCCUUUCACCAUCGACGCGGUAGAUGGAGAAGAAGCACCGGCUAACUACGUGCCAGCAGCCGCGGUAAUAC
rnacentral:rRNA from 1 species